GACGAACGCUGGCGGCGUGCUUAACACAUGCAAGUCGAACGGAAAGGCCCUGCUUUUGUGGGGUGCUCGAGUGGCGAACGGGUGAGUAACACGUGAGUAACCUGCCCUUGACUUUGGGAUAACUUCAGGAAGCUGGGGCUAAUACCGGAUAGGAGCUCCUGCUGCAUGGUGGGGGUUGGAACGUUUCGGCGGUUGGGGAUGGACUCGCGGCUUAUCAGCUUGUUGGUGGGGUAGUGGCUUACCAAGGCUUUGACGGGUAGCCGGCCUGAGAGGGUGACCGGCCACAUUGGGACUGAGAUACGGCACAGACUCCUACGGGAGGCAGCAGUGGGGAAUAUUGCACAAUGGGCGGAAGCCUGAUGCAGCAACGCCGCGUGCGGGAUAACGGCCUUCGGGGUGUAAACCGCUUGCGCCUGUGACGAAGCGUGAGUGACGGUAAUGGGUAAAGAAGCACCGGCUAACUACGUG
rnacentral:rRNA from 1 species